GUUGUAUAGUCAAGUAAUUAAGUGCAUGUGGUGGAUGCCUUGGCAGUCAGAGGCGAUGAAAGACGUGAUAGCCUGCGAAAAGCUCCGGGGAGGCGGCAAAUAUCCUUUGAUCCGGAGAUUUCUGAAUGGGGGAACCCACCUACUUUAAGGUAGGUAUUGCAACAUGAAUACAUAGUGUUGCAAGGCGAACGAGGGGAAGUGAAACAUCUCAGUACCCUUAGGAAAAGAAAUCAAUUGAGAUUCCCUCAGUAGCGGCGAGCGAACGGGGAUCAGCCCAUUAAGUUAUGUGUGUUUUAGUGGAACGCUCUGGGAAGUGCGAACGUAGAGGGUGAUAUUCCCGUACACGAAAGGGCACACAUAAUGAUGACGAGUAGGGCGAGGCACGUGAAACCUUGUCUGAAUAUGGGGGGACCAUCCUCCAAGGCUAAAUACUCCUGACUGACCGAUAGUGAACCAGUACCGUGAGGGAAAGGCGAAAAGAACCCCUGUGAGGGGAGUGAAAUAGAUCCUGAAACCGCAUGCAUACAAGCAGUGGGAGCACCUUCGUGGUGUGACUGCGUACCUUUUGUAUAAUGGGUCAGCGACUUAUAUUCAGUAGCGAGGUUAACCGUAUAGGGGAGCCGUAGAGAAAUCGAGUCUUAAUAGGGCGUUUAGUUGCUGGGUAUAGACCCGAAACCAGGCGAUCUAUCCAUGAGCAGGUUGAAGGUUGGGUAACACUAACUGGAGGACCGAACCCACUGUCGUUGAAAAGCCAGGGGAUGACUUGUGGAUAGGGGUGAAAGGCUAAUCAAGCCUGGUGAUAGCUGGUUCUCCCCGAAAGCUAUUUAGGUAGCGCCUCGGACGAAUACCAUAGGGGGUAGAGCACUGUUUCGGCUAGGGGGUCAUCCCGACUUACCAAACCGAUGCAAACUCCGAAUACCUAUGAGUACUAUCCGGGAGACAGACUGCGGGUGCUAACGUCCGUAGUCAAGAGGAAAACAAUCCAGACCGCCAGCUAAGGCCCCAAAAUCAUAGUUAAGUGGGAAACGAUGUGGGAAGGCAUAGACAGCUAGGAGGUUGGCUUAGAAGCAGCCACCCUUUAAAGAAAGCGUAAUAGCUCACUAGUCGAGUCGGCCUGCGCGGAAGAUGUAACGGGGCUAAAAC
rnacentral:rRNA from 1 species